rnacentral:lncRNA from 1 species
UUCUACAUUUAGUAUUAUAAAUAUAUAAUUUUAAUGUAUAUAUAUAUAUAUUAUUAUAUUAAUUUUAUUGUUAUAUAAUUCUGAAAAAAAAAAGAACUUCUAUUUAGCGAAGGGAGCCUUCGUCCCACUCCCCGGUACAUAACAGCAAUUUUACCCAGAAGGUCCCCUUUCAUGUCCAUUUUUAGGAAAAAAGGGGGGAAGGAAAUUCUUGA